CUGUAUUUUUAAAUAUGUCAAUUUUGACAUUGAUUAAAAAGUUGACAGCAGCCUAGAAUUAUAAAUUAAAACGUCAUACGUUUAUAAACAAAUAUUCAAUAUCAGGAAUACUUUCCCGAAAAGUUUUAGUGUUGUUUGCAGCCAAAAUGUUGGACUUUUAAAACCAUCAGACUCACUUUUCCGUCGGCUGGAUGGACGAUUUCGUAUAAAAGGACGAUUGCCGACUUUGGAACGUACGCAAAGGGACCGUCCAUUGAUGCACGCUAUGCCUUCUACUAAAGGACCCUAAUUAUGUCGGUUUUUCCAACAUAAUUAACUAGAUUUAGGUUUGAAGAUCGCAUUACGUAUAAGUCUGAUAUCGCUCAUUUUAACCAUGCGUUAAAAAUAUUGUAUUAUACAGCUGAGCUUGGUCAAAUUAUUAGUUUAAUUUUAUCUUAAUUUAUUAAUAAA